rnacentral:rRNA from 1 species
CAAUAGCGUAUAUUAAAGUUGUUGUGGUUAAAAAGCUCGUAGUUGAACCUUGGGCCUGGCCGUCCGGUCCGCCUCACCGCGUGUACUGGCUCGGCCGGGCCUUUCCCUCUGUGGAACCCCAUGCCCUUCACUGGGCGUGGCGGGGAAACAGGACUUUUACUGUGAAAAAAUUAGAGUGCUCCAGGCAGGCCUAUGCUCGAAUACAUUAGCAUGGAAUAAUAGAAUAGGACGUGUGGUUCUAUUUUGUUGGUUUCUAGGACCGCCGUAAUGAUUAAUAGGGACAGUCGGGGGCAUCAGUAUUCAAUUGUCAGAGGUGAAAUUCUUGGAUUUAUUGAAGACUAGCUACUGCGAAAGCAUUUGCCAAGGAUGUUUUCAUUAA